UUUCGCAGUCAUAUUACCCUGCAGCCCAAGACUAAAGCUAAGCAGGGCUGAGCCUGGUUAGUACCUGGAUGGGAAACCACAUGGGAAAACUAGGUUGCUGUUGGAA
rnacentral:rRNA from 1 species